UUCCGGUGUCCACUUGGAAGGGGAAGCCCUCUCUAAAGCCUUGGCACCUUUGGGGACAGCUACAUAUGUUGGGGGCUUUACUUCCCUCUCUCCUCAUCCUAACCAGUGUGGGGAGAUAGCAAAUCCUCCUCUACCUCUGGGGACACAGCAAGCUGGGAAUGGAAAAGAGGGAGAGGAAGAAAACACACGAACAACUUUGGUGCCUACUCCUCCCUUUCAUCCGACCCCUGUUUGGAAACGAAUGAAGCAACACCCACCAGUGGACUUCCAGACCUGCCUGUCCCCUCUGCUCCAUCUGCCCCCAGGGGAUGAGACCCCCGUGUCCCCACUCCCGGGGCACCAGCAGCACCAGUACCAAUGGGAAGAAUCAAACAACAGCAAACCACUGACUAUAAUUCCUCCAGCCUAAAUGUCUCCCACUGCACUAUUUUCUCCCCUAGCUCCACACCCCACAAGCCCAAAUCAGGGCACCAGUCACCCAGAGGCCACUGACAUGCUUACCGGUCUUGGCUGAAAAUCUGGAAAGAUGGAAUUGAAGAAAGAAAGAUUUCCCAACGCAGUAAGCGACACCUCGCCCUGAAAAAAGCUCGGCACAAAGCGGGGUGAAAGUUGAAGAGGGAAUGAGCUUGUAAUAGUGCCUCGCCAGACCUCACACAUGCUGAAGGAUAUUUACAGCAAACGUGCCAAAGUAAACUACCCCGCCUACCCACCACCAUGCCCCCUCCUCG
ensembl:lncRNA